rnacentral:rRNA from 1 species
UUAAGUCAGGCAACAAGCGAGACCCACGCCAACAGUUGCCAGCUCGUCCUCCGGGAUGGUGGGGACACUGUUGGGACCGCCUCUGCUAAAGAGGAGGAAGGAAUGGGCAACGGUAGGUCAGCAUGCCCCGAAUUAUCCGGGCUACACGCGGGCUACAAUGGUUGGUACAAUGGGUAUCUACCCCGAAAGGGGAUGGAAAUCUCCUAAAGCCAAUCUUAGUUCGGAUUGAGGGCUGCAACUCGCCCUCAUGAAGCUGGAAUCCGUAGUAAUCGCGUUUCAAUAGAACGCGGUGAAUACGUCCCUGCUCCUUGCACA